rnacentral:lncRNA from 1 species
CUGAUUCUUCAUAUUUUCUUUAUAGAAUUAAUAAACCAAAUCAGUAUUGGAGAAUUAAGGAGCAUAAAACAGUUAGAAGCCUUAUUUAGAGCUUAUACAAUAAUGGCAGUCAUUUCUGGCCACGGUUCAACUUUUUACGAGCAAUACUGUUUGAUGGCGUAUGCUUUUGUGAUUCGCAUGUGGCAGAUGUCAUUCACAACAGUAGGAUUGUUUUUAAAGGCACAGACCAAAGUUUCACCAGCUCAAUCAGCAACUCCAAAAUCAAAAGACAAAAAAGAUGCCAAAAAGCCUGAUGCUACUCAGGGUUCACCUACAAGCCCUUCUAAGAAAGAUAAAGAUAAAUCCCCAAAAGAUGUAAAAAAGGAACGCUCAGGCAGUAAAGAGAAGGUGAAAAGGAAGGGGCCAAUUGAUGUCUUGCCUGGAAAUGUGGAGGAAUGGGCUAACUAUGAGUGCCCUGAUGAGAUAAGAGAAGCCUUUAAACAGGACUCAAGUGGCUGUACUGUAAACAGAGAAACCAUUUUAGCACCUGUGAGUAAUAUCUUGCAAUAGGACAUAAUUGAAAUUAUCUA